CUAACAAGGAUUCCCCUAGUAACGGCGAGUGAAGCGGGAUGAGCUCAAAUUUGUAAUCUGGUAGCCUUAAGGUUAUCCGAGUUGUAGUCUCGAGAAGUGUUUUCCGUGUUGGACUGUGUACAAGUCCCUUGGAACAGGGCGUCAUAGAGGGUGAGAAUCCCGUCUUUGACACAGACUACCAAUACUAUGUGAUACACUCUCAAAGAGUCGAGUUGUUUGGGAAUGCAGCUCAAAACGGGUGGUAAAUUCCAUCUAAAGCUAAAUAUAGGCAAAAGACCGAUAGCGAACAAGUACCGUGAGGGAAAGAUGAAAAGCACUUUGGAAAGAGAGUUAAACAGUACGUGAAAUUGUUGAAAGGGAAACGAUUGAAGUCAGUCGCGUCUUCCGAGAUUCAAUCUUGCUUAACGGCUUGGUGUACUUCUCGGAUCAGACGGGCCAGCAUCAAUUUGAAGGGUUGGAAAAAGGCAUUGAUAAUGUGGCACUCUUUCGUGGAGUGUGUUAUAGAUCUCUGUCGCAUACAACACUUUGGAUUGAGGAUCGCAGCACGCUUUUGGGAUUUAUUUCAAAGGUCGGGGUUCGCCCACGUUCACGUGCUUAGGAUGCUGGCGUAAUGGCUUUAAACGA
rnacentral:rRNA from 1 species